rnacentral:rRNA from 1 species
AUUGAACGCUGGCGGCAUGCCUUACACAUGCAAGUCGAACGGCAGCACGGGAGCAAUCCUGGUGGCGAGUGGCGAACGGGUGAGUAAUAUAUCGGAACGUGCCCAGUCGUGGGGGAUAACGCAGCGAAAGCUGUGCUAAUACCGCAUACGAUCUAUGGAUGAAAGCGGGGGAUCGCAAGACCUCGCGCGAUUGGAGUGGCCGAUAUCAGAUUAGCUAGUUGGUGGGGUAAAAGCUUACCAAGGCGACGAUCUGUAGCUGGUCUGAGAGGACGGCCAGCCACACUGGAACUGAGACACGGUCCAGACUCCUACGGGAGGCAGCAGUGGGGAAUUUUGGACAAUGGGCGCAAGCCUGAUCCAGCAAUGCCGCGUGCAGGAUGAAGGCCUUCGGGUUGUAAACUGCUUUUGUACGGAACGAAACGGCUCUUUCUAAUAAAGAGGGCUAAUGACGGUACCGUAAGAAUAAGCACCGGCUAACUACGUGCCAGCAGCCGCGGUAAUACGUAGGGUGCGAGCGUUAAUCGGAAUUACUGGGCGUAAAGCGUGCGCAGGCGGUUUUGUAAGACAGAUGUGAAAUCCCCGGGCUCAACCUGGGACCUGCAUUUGUGACUGCAAGGCUAGAGUACGGUAGAGGGGGAUGGAAUUCCGCGUGUAGCAGUGAAAUGCGUAGAUAUGCGGAGGAACACCGAUGGCGAAGGCAAUCCCCUGGACCUGUACUGACGCUCAUGCACGAAAGCGUGGGGAGCAAACAGGAUUAGAUACCCUGGUAGUCCACGCCCUAAACGAUGUCAACUGGUUGUUGGGUCUUUACUGACUCAGUAACGAAGCUAACGCGUGAAGUUGACCGCCUGGGGAGUACGGCCGNCAGGUUG